rnacentral:lncRNA from 1 species
GUGACCCAGCUGGGCAUAUUCCCCAAUAGCUGCCCCCUUGUUAUUUCCUUAGGAGGGUUUCAUUAUCUUUUUAAUUUUGCUCUUUGAGCCUCUGUGAAUAGUAAGAGAAAAGGGCUAUUUUCUCUUCCAAAAGCAGGACAUUCCAUUUGGGGCUCAGGAGCAACAUGACAUCCUGUUCUGAAUGUGUCUUACUUAGAAGGGCCUGGGAUUUUUACAGUUGAGUAUAACUGCAGAGGGCUCUCAAAACCUCAAGGGAAGGAAGAGGAAAUAAUCCCUAUGGAGAGAAAAAGAAAAGUUUGCUUAAGGAUAGCAGAAAAAAAAAAUGAUUCACCACUCAAAGAAAUUUAAGUCUAGGAAUGGGUUGAAAAAGGUGAAAUGCCUCAAGGUUGAAGGGGAACUUUAAAAAUACAUUGGUAGCCAGGAGAACUACGUGGUCCAUAAAGCUCACCUGAGGGGGCCUCCAUUUUCCUCUCUAAGCACAUCGCCUGCCACUUUCCCUGGGUUCUCCUUCACCUGCAGCUACACUGGCUUUUCUGGUUCUAAAGUUCCCCUGAUGUUCUCACCUCAGGUCCUCCUUUUUACUUCCUCCAACAGAGAGAAACUUCUUCCUCAGGAUAUCCACAGGCUUCUUUGCUUUGCUUCACUGAGGCCUUUGAGGAAAUAGAAUCCCAUUAGAUGACUUUCUUGAUCUCACAUAAAAUAACCUCCUUCUGUCAUCCUGUUAUCUUCAGAGUUUUCACUACCUGAUUUUAUAUUUGCUAUUAUUGUCCCUCCACUAGAAUGGGAGUUCCAUGAGGACAGGAUGUUUUUUUCCUAGAUCACCACUGACUGGGUCCCAGCAUCUGUGCACUGACCAGCACCAAAGUUUAUGGAACUCAGUAAACCUUUAUUGAGAGGAUGGAUGGAUGGAUGGAUGGAUGGAUGGAUGGAUGGAUGGAUGGGACAGGAUGCAUGCCCCUCAGCCUCACAUCCUGCUUAACUUUUGUGACAUGGAACUCACUAAUGCUGACUGCCUAGAAGCCUGAUGAAGGGUAUGCCCUGAGGGACUUUGCCAAAGAAACCUCUCUGGCAGAAGAAAUUUGAUCUUGGAUUGUGGUGAAUUUUUGUUUCCUAUUGUAACCUGAGAAGUGUGUGGUUUUUCUUCCUAAGCAAGA